UCUAGCAUGCAGCUGGAACACUGAUCGGGGCUUUCCUUGGGUAAAAUGCAGUUCACAGCAUUGGAAAUGGACUAGAAGGCCAAGUCAGUGCACCAUGAAACAAGGCAAGAAGUACACAGAGCUUGACAGAAAAGUGAAGAGCCCCUUGUCCUGUCUUCAUAUUGAUGAAAACCUGCUCACCAGAGCUUGUCCUGGGAGCUCAGGUACCAUUCAGCCACUGUGAACGACUGAUUUGUGGAGAGUAGACUGACUUAUUUGUGACUCCAGCCCAGCUGGAGUCAGACUUUCUGGGCUCUGUUGCUGAAGGUGCUGAACAGAAGACAUUCCUGAGGAAGAUCUUCACACACAGGGCCAGGAGUGUCUCUAUCACACACCUAGUCUGGCCAGAGAGCCAGGAGGACAGUUUUCCCAAAGAGCAGGCAGAAAUCAGAAUGUGUGCUACUGCCUCACCCCGACACUCCCACCGUAACCAGUUUGGAGGCAGCUGCCAUGCCAGAGCCCCUGCAGUCAGCUCUUCUGAGGCAAGAACCCAGCUAGAAAGAAAAUAUAUCUGCAGUCUAAAUCCACUCCAGGUCUCACAGCUCAGCCUUCCUGUCUCAUCUUUGCUGCAGUCAAAACUGGGGCACUGGGGAAAGGUGUCCCACGGGGUCUGCGGAUUCCCACAGCUCACCAAGCCAGCUGUUUCCAGCUAAAAAAACACAGGAACCUUUCCUGUUGCCAGUACCUGUGACUGUGUUCUGCUCACCUCGAACAGGCUGGUUUGAGCUGCAGUUUUAAGUUGGAUGUUCUUCACCACAGAUGGCUAGUCCAACCAGCAGUUCUCCAACCAGGGAAAUGAAUCCAGAAAGAUACUGCCUUC